GAGUUUGAUCGUGGCUCAGAACGAACGCUGGCGGCAGGCUUAACACAUGCAAGUCGAGGGGUAGAGUAGCAAUACUUGAGACCGGCGCACGGGUGCGUAACGCGUAUGCAACCUACCUUUUACAGAGGGAUAGCCCAGAGAAAUUUGGAUUAAUACCUCAUAGUAUAUGUCUUUCGCAUGUUAGACAUAUUAAAGUUCCAACGGUAAAAGAUGGGCAUGCGUCCUAUUAGCUAGAUGGUAAGGUAACGGCUUACCAUGGCAACGAUAGGUAGGGGUCCUGAGAGGGAGAUCCCCCACACUGGUACUGAGACACGGACCAGACUCCUACGGGAGGCAGCAGUGAGGAAUAUUGGACAAAUGGGCGCAAGCCUGAUCCAGCCAUGCCGCGUGCAGGAAGAACGGUCCUAUGGAUUGUAAAACUGCUUUUUGUACGGGAAGAAACACUCCCUCGUGAGGGAGCUUGACGGUACCGUAAGAAUAAGGAUCGGCUAAACUCCGU
rnacentral:rRNA from 1 species